UGAAGCUCCCGGUCACCAGACAACCAGGUUAUUUUCUGCAUCAGGCAGGAAGCGGAAACUGGAAAACAGAAUGAGGACAAGGUGACCCUGAUCAAAUUAUAAGGAGUCUAUGCAUCAGAAGCUUAAGUGAAAAGUGAGAAGCCGAUGGGACUCCAGAUCACCAAGGCUGAACACGCUGUGCAAUGGGAUCCCAAUCAGCUGCGGUACUGAAUGGGACCUUAAGCCACUACCGACAGAGGAAACACCCAAGACAGAACUAAAGAUACACCAGCCAGGUCCUCAGCAGGUAUAAAUCAGCAUAGCUCCACUGAUUUAAUGGGCUGCAUCAGUUUACAGAAGCAGAGGAUCAGGCCCAAUGUACCCAAGUGAGAAACUGGAAGGAGUAAAUCACACACCAGGGUAUAAAACACCUAUUGAUGGUC